rnacentral:rRNA from 1 species
UACGGAAGGGGCUAGCGUUGUUCGGAAUCACUGGGCGUAAAGCGCGCGUAGGCGGCCUUGCAAGUGCGGCGUGAAAGUCCUGGGCUCAACCUGGGGACGGCGCUGCGGACUGCUUGGCUGGAGUCCGGAAGAGGGUGGUGGAAUUCCGAGUGUAGAGGUGAAAUUCGUAGAUAUUCGGAGGAACACCGGUGGCGAAGGCGGCCACCUGGUCCGGUACUGACGCUGAAGCGCGAAAGCGUGGGGAGCAAACAGGAUUAGAAACCCCCGUAGUCC